UACAGAGGGUGCAAGCGUUGUUCGGAAUUAUUGGGCGUAAAGGGAGUGUAGGCGGCUAUCUAAGUCUUCUGUGAAAUCUACGGGCUUAGCCUGUAACGUGCAGAGGAAACUGGAUGGCUUGAGUGUCGGAGAGGAUAGUGGAAUUCCCGGUGUAGAGGUGAAAUUCGUAGAGAUCGGGAGGAACACCAGUGGCGAAGGCGACUAUCUGGCUGACAACUGACGCUGAGACUCGAAAGCAUGGGGAGCAAACAGG
rnacentral:rRNA from 1 species